rnacentral:rRNA from 1 species
CCCUCAGAUGUUCUGGGCCGCACGCGUGCUACACUGAGUGGAUCAGCGGGUCAGGUUGCGCGAAAGCGUUUCCUAAUCUUUAAAUCCGCUCGUGAUGGGGAUUGACGGUUGCAAUUUUCUGUCAUGAACGAGGAAUACCUUGUAAGCGCGGGUCAUCAUCCCGCGCUGAAUACGUCCCUGCCCUUUGUACACACCGCCCGUCGCUCCUACCGAUUGAAUGGCUUAGUGAGCCUUUGGGAUUGGCAGCUUGUACCGGCAACGGUAGCAGGCCGCUGAAAACUUAGGCAAACUUGGUCAUUUAGAGGAAGUAAAAGUCGUAACA